UACGUAGGGGGCUAGCGUUGUCCGGAAUCAUUGGGCGUAAAGAGCGUGUAGGCGGCCCGGUAAGUCCGCUGUAAAAGUCAAAGGCUCAACCUUUGAAUGUCAGUGGAUACUGCCGGGCUAGAGUCCGGAAGAGGCGAGUGGAACUCCUGGUGUAGCGGUGGAAUGCGCAGAUAUCAGGAGGAAUACCGAUGGCGAAGGCAGGUCUCUGGGCUGACACUGACGCUCAUGCACGAAAGCGUGGGGAGCAAACAGG
rnacentral:rRNA from 1 species